CCUGACUCGGUUACAAGCCAGGAAACCUUUAUUUCAAGAGCAGGUUUACUGCUUGAUGAUUUCCUUAUAAAAUAUAAUAAAAGCUGUCAAAGCAUUGGAUGUACAAAGGCAAUAAAUAUCAGUUCAUCCUCAACAGUGGUGCCAAUGUUUAUGUCUACAGAGAAGGUUUCAGUAGUUAGAUCUGAGGACAAUGAUCCAAUAAACAAGUCCAACGUAGGCUUCUCACAAAGCAAUAAAAGCCAUCUUACCACAUCCCCUGAAUUGCAGAUUGAAUUAAACCCAAGCCCAACAUCUGCCAACAGUAGCUUCCUCUUAAAAACACAUUCACUGUUGGAACAAACUAAUUUCCUUCCUACAAAUGAAACUAGCAAAGGUGUAAUAUCAAAAUCUGUGUUUCAAUCACUGACAAAUCCAGAUUUAGAAGCAACCCAUUUAGAUGGGAACAUAACUCCAAUUGUUGA